CCUCGGUCCUCGUUGGAGCCGUUGGGGACUGCAGAAGGACAGAAAUCUCAGGUAGGCGGAGGAUGGAGGAAGGGAGCCCGCCAAGGACACAGGGAUCAUGAACUCAGCCAGCGCCUAUCCCUGGGCAUCGUGGAGAGAAGCUGGACAGGCCAGUGUCAUGUAAAAUGCAGAAGAGCAGCCCGAGUUCCCAGCCCCCCAAUGGAGGAGAAGUCAAGAGCCAGCCUGUUAGAGGUGCCUCUGGGUCUCACCCGCUUGCUGCCAAGCCCCCAGUGCAGAUGGGGUGUCUGCAUAAAAUUUCAGCAUUUCAAGAAAGAACUGAGAUUUCAGAGGCAAUGAACUGAGCUGACACCCUGCACCUGGUCACCCCUGCCAGGUAGGCCCCUGUGACCUGAGGAUUCCUGGCAGACACCUGGACACGUUUGCUCUUCAGGGCAAGCUCUUUCCUCAGGCCGUGCCCACCCUGAGCAGCUCCCCUCCCGCCAACUCACAGGAAUGCAGGCACUCCACAAUAGUGGUGGCGUCAAUGAAGUAUCCCCCGCAGAGGGCACACAUGA